AGCGGCCCGGCCGCAGCUGGGGGAGGAGCUGGGAGCCGGGUGGGGAGGAGAGGGGAGGGGAGAAGGGGGAGGAGGGGGGAGGCGGAGAGGGCGGCGGGAGCGGGGAGAAAGGAGGAGGAGGGAGAGACACGAAGGCUUUUGUGGCAUAGUCGCCUCUCGCGCAGCCCCAGCCCGCGGCCGGCAGCCCGCAACCUGGCAGGACCGAGCAGCGCGCACCCACUCCUACCCGCAUGUACUCCCAGCCCCCCUCCCCACGCCCGCCCUAGCCCCCCCUUCUUACCCCAUCCCUGCCAUCCUGUCUCAAUCCAGCCACUGGCCCGCCCGCCCAGAUCAACUCGAAAUGAUUAGGCUAGAGGCCGCCUGCAUUCUGGCCAGGCUGGUCCGCUUGCGGGACGAAGGGCCUGAGCCCCUCUCUUCACCGGGAAUAGGCCCACCCAGGUGACUUCCCUCAGAACCCGUGUCCCAGCGGACAGGUUACUGGGCGAUGGGGGACGCUAGAUGGUGGCACCGGCGGCCCGAAUCUUCCUGGGGGUGGCGUGCGCGGCUCUCACUUGCACCUUGCUGGGUCUACUGUGCCUUACUGUGGGAGGCGCCCCGCGUGGCCUCGAGUCUGGUCGCCUACCCCGCGCCGACCAGCGUGUCCCCGUGGGACCCGGAUCCGGGGCGCCUUCGUUGCGAGUUGCCAGCCAGGAGAGUCUAGAGGGGGAUGACUGUCACUGGAUAGAUGACUUUAUCUGAGAGGACAGGAAGCCUCGCUGUCACUUGGGCAGGAAGGAGCGGUCGGCAGCACAGGUAGAUCAGAAGAGAAGGCCAGGAAUCACCCCGAAGGGCACUUCCAGGUGCUCCACACGGAACCCGGUGUGUGCAGGCCUGAAGGUCGGCGCCCACCCAACAGCCCUGUUGGCUCUGCAGCUCUCGCAAGGGCCUCUUUUAUUGGAUCCGCGUAUCCCUGGGACUCAGAGUCGAGUCGCUCGGGCACAGAGGGAGUCUGCUGUGCAUGAUCGAUAGGCUCCAGUCGCCACCAGAACCUUCAAGGCACAGGCAGAGUUGGAUCGCCAUCGGAUCAGAGGGAACCAGUUGCAGAUUGUCCUCCUUGGCCCGCAGGCUUGUGGCUCCUGUUAGUGGUCGCUGCACUUAGGACAAGGCGGCAUGGACGUGCGCGUUUCAAGAAGCCGACUUCCCCACGGAGUUCAAGCGCUGAGAAACGCCAGAAACGCGGCCAGGGCUUCAGGGCCAACCGGCAAAGUGGCAGUCGCGGGCCCAGGCUCUCUGCAGACGCGGACCUUCCCGGCUUGCCGGGCCGCGGGGAGGCCGGCGGCGCGGGCCCGAAGUCGUGCGCGCGGGCGGCGAGGGGGCGCUGUGGCCCGCGGCUGAGGCCUCCUCCCUGCUGCGGUGGCCCCAACAACGGUCCAGGCUACCGAAGGGCGGUGGGCGUCCCUGCCCUGGCGAGCGACCUACCCCUUUCCACUUAGGUUUAUUUCGGGGAGGAACAAUUAUAUCAGGCAUUGCAAUAAAACUUACUCCACAUACGA